UACAGAGGGUGCAAGCGUUGUUCGGAAUUAUUGGGCGUAAAGCGCGUGUAGGCGGCUUUGCAAGUCGGGUGUGAAAUCCCUCAGCUCAACUGAGGAAGUGCGCCCGAAACUGCAGAGCUUGAGUGCCAGAGAGGGUGGCGGAAUUCCCCAAGUAGAGGUGAAAUUCGUAGAUAUGGGGAGGAACACCGGUGGCGAAGGCGGCCACCUGGCUGGUUACUGACGCUGAGACGCGAAAGCGUGGGGAGCGAACAGG
rnacentral:rRNA from 1 species